rnacentral:rRNA from 1 species
ANUACCAAGGCNGCNACGGGUAUCCGGCCUGAGAGGGUGGACGGNCACAUUGGGACUGAGAUACGGCCCAGACUCCUACGGGAGGCAGCAGUGGGGAAUAUUGCACAAUGGGCGCAAGCCUGAUGCAGCGACGCCGCGUGGGGGAUGAAGGCCUUCGGGUUGUAAACUCCUUUCGCUAUCGACGAAGCCUUCGGGUGACGGUAGGUAGAUAAGAAGCACCGGCUAACUACGUGCCAGCAGCCGCGGUAAUACACA